GUCGUCACAAACUGUAUCUUGCUUCAAAAAGGUUAAACUAGAAAUGAAAAAGGUUAAACAAAUUAAUCUUUUCAAAUUAAGCAUAAUUCCCUACCGUUCGUGACAUGAUCUCUCACCAAUUAAAACUAUACUCUUAUCUGAAGAAUAUCUCCUUUGUUGGGUAAGUGUCUUAUCUAAAUGUUAAACCAACGUCAGCGUAUCGCAAGUUUUUUUGUGGCUUCAUCGGACAAACGACUCAGCAGCAACCUUUCUUGGACGAUGAUCAAUAGUCAAGAUGAUCCCCACAGAUGUGAAGCAAUGGUUAUGGAGUGAGAGAAGACACUGAGUGGGAUGAUGGCCCAACAGCUUG